GCCGCCAUAGCUCAGUGGUAGAGCACGUCAUUGGUAAUGACGGGGUCCGUAGUUCAAUCCUACGUGGCGGCACCA
rnacentral:tRNA from 1 species